rnacentral:rRNA from 1 species
UACGACUACAUAUCAGGCAUAUCAAUAAGCGGAGGAAAAGAAACUAACAAGGAUUCCCUAGUAACGGCGAGUGAAGCGGGAAGAGCUCAAAUUUGAAAUCUUAAAGGUUUCCCUUGACGAAUUGUAGUUUAUAGAAGUGUUUUCUGUAGUGGAGUUCGGUAAAAGUUCUUUGGAAUAGGACAUCAUAGAGGGUGAGAAUCCCGUAUUUGACCAUUACUUUCCAGCUGUGUGAUACACUUUCAAAGAGUCGGAUUGUUUGGGAAUGCAGUCCAAAAUGGGUGGUAAAUUUCAUCUAAAGCUAAAUAUUGGCGAGAGACCGAUAGCGAACAAGUACCGUGAGGGAAAGAUGAGAAGAACUUUGAGAAGAGAGUUAAACAGUACGUGAAAUUGUCAAAAGGGAAGCGUUUGACACCAGUGUUGUUUUCUCGAAAAUCAAUUAAAAAGUAUGGGAUUUUGUAUUGUUAAGACCUUAUCAGCUUACGGUACUUUUUUCUUAUUCUUUUUAAUGCACUUUUCGUUUAACAAGUCAACAUCAAUUUCUUUUGUUGUAAAAGAGUCAUUGGAAGGUGGCUUUCACUUCGGUGAAAGUGUUUAUAGCCUUUGGCUUCUGCAAUCGGAGAGAUUGAGGUCUGCAGCGUAGAUCCUUCGGGGUUAGAUACGUAGAUGCUAAGUUAUAGUUUUUCAUAGACAACUUGUUGACUAUGAUUAAUCAUGUAGCUUACUCGUUUGCGCUAUUUUACCUACGCUUAGGAUGUUGAAUCUGUGCGAGACUAC